AAAUCAGAGGCGACUUCCUCACACCCAGAUGUUGUUUUCGCUUAAAAGAAAGUCAGCUACAAAAUCAGUAGCAAACAAUUUGCAUUCUUUUUUUUCUGAGUUCAGAAGGAAAAACGACGCUCUCACUUUUACGGAUAAAAAAACGCAACCGUCCAUUCCCUGGAGGGGGGUCUGCUGUCUGCAAUGGAACAUGACGAAUAAUUUCUUGCAAACAAGAAAAUGGUGAGUUGUCAAAUUCUGCUUCUGCUGCCAAAUGCGUUCAAUUCCAUGCCAUUGACGAUCAAAUCUGGUUAGGAGCCUUUUUCAAAACGAACUGAAUAUCCGAUCCUUGUGCCACUGCCAGCCAGGCGUGUGCUAGGAAGAGAAAGAACUGACUUUCACUGAUUCGGGAUGUUUUUAGCCCAAUCUCUCUCCGUGUGGUGCUGUAGCAUUGCAUGCCGUUAGAUCCGCCCAAACAUCUGUCCGUCUAACCAUUGGCGCAUCCAUCAGUGUCACACUGGCUGCACGUUGCAACCACAAUACCUCAGACAUAACAGAGACUGCGAGGUUCAAUACCAAUCUUUAGAAGGCUGUACAACUUCGCAUCAGGCUGUGCGUCUAAAAAUGCAUCGGAUUUUAAUUUUAGCCACUGAAAUUAACCUGGAUCAUCAGACAUAGCAAUGGAGACUAAAUGCAAACAUUUAAGUCACUGCUUCAAAAUUUAAAUGGAUAAGCACCACGCCACACACGUAUAAGCAUAACAAGUCAAAGAAAGAGACUGACUCUGAACAGUAACCUUUUGAAUAUUUUCAAAAGGAAUACAACCUACAAAAAUAAUUUAAAGAAAAAAACAGACACAAAAUGUGAAAUGGCAUAUCUUAUCCUGAAGAAAAAGGGUCUUCCUUAAGAUAUUUAAAAAAAAAAAAAAAAAAGAUACAUUUCUUUGGCAAUGCAGUAUUAUCUUCUGUGCUACACUACUCACAAAUUCGAGAUUAAACGCGUUCAGAGCACCACACUUUGUAAUAUGUAACAGAUACUGAGCUCACAACUCACCACUUUCUCUAGCAACAUUAACAUUGGUACCUCACCGUCAAAGAUACGCCGGUAGCCAUACAUCUCAGCAAUGUACGUUUCUGUGUUGUUUUAUUGAAAUUUUUUUGUAGAAACUGCGAUAUUAAUUUCUAUUGUCAUACAAUGCUAAACAGUAUAUUUGCCAUGACACAUUAUGCAUUUGUUAAAGCUGUAAAUUAGCUCCAAGCAAAGAAAACCUUUUGUUUUUUGGUAUUUCAAUCCUUUGCAUUGUUGUGUAAUUUCAGAUGUUUAAUACUAAAAGUUAAAGAGGGAAUUCAUUACAUUUUUAUUAAAUACUUUUUUUUUUGUUAGUUUCUUUUGCAAUAUGAGACCAACAUGUUCAAGACUGCCAAAUACCUUAUUUGACUAAUUUGUUUCAGAUAUGGUAAAUAAUUUGAAUUUGAUGCAAAUAAAUGACCUUAAAAAAGUGAACAGUUUUACAACGUAGAUGGACUUUACCAGUGGCGUUUGUGGGAUAGAGUAUUCUAUGAUUCAGAUAAUAUUGCAAUGUAUUAUCAUAUAGUUUCCGUAAAAUACAUUUCAAAAUCAUCCCGUUACAGCAUACCACAGCCAGCUUCAUGUUUCUUAAAUUAAAUAAAACAUUUUCUUUUAAAAUUGCUUUUUAAAAAAAAAAAAAAAAAAAAAAAGACUAUCGCUGCUUCUUUCAA